UACAUGCAGUCGAACGGGAUAGAACUUAGCAAUAGGUUCUUGAGAGUGGCGCUUUGGUGCGUAACACGUAUGCAACCUACCUUUAACUGGGGGAUAGCCUCUCGAAAGAGAGAUUAAUACCCCAUAGUAUAACUGGAGAGCAUUUUUUGGUUAUUAAAGAUUUAUCGGUUAAAGAUGGGCAUGCGGCUGAUUAGGUAGUUGGUGAGGUAAUGGCUCACCAAGCCAACGAUCAGUAGGGGGUCUGAGAGGAUGUCCCCCCACACUGGUACUGAGACACGGACCAGACUCCUACGGGAGGCAGCAGUAGGGAAUAUUGGACAAUGGGGGCAACCCUGAUCCAGCCAUUCCGCGUGCAGGAAUAAGGCCCUAUGGGUCGUAAACUGCUUUUGUAUGGGAAAAAAUCAUCUUACGUGUAGGAUGUUGAUGGUACCAUGAGAAUAAGGAUCGGCUAACUUCGUGCCAGCAGCCGCGGUAAUACGAAGGAUCCAAGCGUUGUCCGGAUUUACUGGGUUUAAAGGGUGCGUAGGCGGGGAAUUAAGUCAGUGGUGAAAGCUGGUAGCUCAACUAUCAAAUUGCCAUUGAAACUGAUUCUCUCGAGUACGGUUGAGGUAGCUGGAAUGUAACAUGUAGCGGUGAAAUGCUUAGAUAUGUUACAGAACACCGAUUGCGAAGGCAGGCUACUAAACCGUAACUGACGCUGAGGCACGAAAGCGUGGGGAUCAAACAGGAUUAGAUACCCUGGUAGUCCACGCUGUAAACGUUGCAUACUCGGUCUUAGCGAUAUACAGUUAGGACCUAAGCGAAAGCAUUAAGUAUGCCACCUGGGGAGUACGGUCGCAAGAUUGAACUCAAAGGAAUUGAC
rnacentral:rRNA from 1 species